rnacentral:rRNA from 1 species
GACGAACGCUGGCGGCGUGCCUAAUACAUGCAAGUCGAACGGUCUUUUCUAUGGAAGCUUGCUUCCACUGAGAAGAUAGUGGCGAACGGGUGAGUAACACGUGGGUAACCUGUCCAUAAGAGGGGGAUAACAUCCGGAAACGGGUGCUAAUACCGCAUAGCUUUCUUGAUCGCAUGAUCGAGAAAGGAAAGACGGCCUUUGUGCUGUCACUUAUGGAUGGACCCGCGGCGUAUUAGUUAGUUGGUGAGGUAACGGCUCACCAAGACGAUGAUACGUAGCCGACCUGAGAGGGUGAUCGGCCACAUUGGGACUGAGACACGGCCCAAACUCCUACGGGAGGCAGCAGUAGGGAAUCUUCCGCAAUGGACGAAAGUCUGACGGAGCAACGCCGCGUGAGUGAAGAAGGUUUUCGGAUCGUAAAACUCUGUUGUCAGAGAAGAACAAGUCGGAGAGUAACUGCUCCGGCCUUGACGGUAUCUGACCAGAAAGCCACGGCUAACUACGUGCCAGCAGCCGCAGUAAAAC